rnacentral:rRNA from 1 species
GAUGAACGCUGGCGGUAUGCUUAACACAUGCAAGUCGAACGGUCACUUCGGUGAUAGUGGCGGACGGGUGAGUAACGCGUGAGAAUCUGCCUUCAGGUCGGGGACAACAGUUAGAAAUGACUGCUAAUACCGGAUGUGCCUUUGGGUGAAAGAUUUAUUGCCUGAAAAAGAGCUCGCGUCAGAUUAGCUAGUAGGUGGUGUAAGAGACUACCUAGGCUCCGAUCUGUAGCUGGUCUGAGAGGACGAUCAGCCACACUGGAACUGAGACACGGUCCAGACUCCUACGGGAGGCAGCAGUGGGGAAUUUUCCGCAAUGGGCGAAAGCCUGACGGAGCAAUACCGCGUGAGGGACGAAGACUUUUGGGUCGUAAACCUCUUUUCUCAAGGAAGAUGAUGACGGUACUUGAGGAAUAAGCAUCGGCUAACUCUGUG